UACAGGGGGGGCAAGCGUUGUUCGGAAUUACUGGGCGUAAAGCGUGCGCAGGCGGUUUUGUAAGUUUGUCGUGAAAGCCCCGGGCUCAACCUGGGAAUUGCGAUGAAGACUGCAAGGCUUGAAUCUGGCAGAGGGGGGUAGAAUUCCACGUGUAGCAGUGAAAUGCGUAGAGAUGUGGAGGAACACCGAUGGCGAAGGCAGCCCCCUGGGUCAAGAUUGACGCUCAUGCACGAAAGCGUGGGGAGCAAACAGG
rnacentral:rRNA from 1 species